AGUGAACGCUGGCGGCGUGCCUAAUACAUGCACGUCGAAGGAAGUGGCGCACGGGUGAGUAAUAUAUAGCUAAUCUGCCCCUUGCUGGAGGACAACAGUUAGAAAUGACUGCUAAUACUCCAUAGCAAGGGAUGAGACUGUAUCGUAUCAGCUAGUCGGUGGGGUAACGACCUACCGAGGCGAUGACGCGUAACUGGUCUGAGAGGAUGAUCAGUAACAUUGGAAGUGAGACAGCGUCCAAACACCGACGGGAGGGAGCAGUAGGGAGUAUUGCGCAAUGGGGGAGACUCUGAAGCAUCUACGCCUCGUGGAGGAUGACACUUUUCGGAGCGUAAACUCAUUUUGUUAGGUAAGCGGUACCUAACGAAUAAGCACCGGCUAACUCCGUGCCAGCCGCCGCGGUAAUUC
rnacentral:rRNA from 1 species